CCAGUUUUACAUACCCCAUAGAAUGUAUUUAAUAUCUCUGGGUUAUGAUUAAGACUGGGC
rnacentral:pre_miRNA from 1 species